AUUUAACUGUGAAUGAGCCAGAUAUUCAGUGCUGAACCUCUUUCUCACAAUCUUGCACAUCACUUAUAAAGAGUUUCAUUACUAGAACAUGCUCACUGAGCAGGCUUGUUUCUGGGCAUAAGAUUUUUUUUUGUAUUUGAUUAAUAAUAGAUACACAUUUAAGCACUUCUUACACUCUAAUAUAGAUUAUGUAUCUGUAUAAAAAUAUUCCAAGCUACUAAAUGAAAGAAAUAAAAAAGGAAAUGACACAAUAAAAAAGGAUAGAUAAAAAGGAAAGCCAGAGGCAGAGACAUCUGGGAGGGUCCAGAGUAGACAUGACUCUGAGCCAUGUGAGGAGAGGGGAGAAAGGAAACAAGAACAGCAGCCAGGAGGCCCAAAAGAGAAUGGGUUAACCAAAAUGGUUGGAUUUUACAGGUAAGAGCAGCCCAGUCUUCUAUGAUUACCUAGUCAUUUAAUACUAUUGUUACUAAUACCUAGUUUCUAUUUUACACCUCUUGCUAUCAAACUUUGAUCAUUUCCUAAUUUCAAAGGGUGGCUCAUAGCAUACCAAUAAAGCAGCAGACUACCAAUGUAAGAAUAGACACAGGAUUGGAGAGAUGGCUUAAUAUGUAAAGCACAUGCUAUGCAAGUAUGAGACCGAAAUUCAAAUCCUCAGAAUGCAUGUAAAGCCAGUAUGGAAGUCUAUGUCUAUAGUCCCAGUUUCCUUAGGACAAGAUGGGAGGUGGAGACAGGAGAAUCCCUGCAAGCUAGGAAGCUAGCUAUCUUGGUGUGUGUAAUAGUGACUUAACGAAGAGAUCUUGCUCAAAAAUGGUGUAAGACAAAGAUCAACACCAAAGAGGACUAACACACAGGCAUACUAACAUGCAUGAACUCUGUGAUACACACACACACACACACACACACACACACACACACAAGUAUAGACAGAGAGACCAAUGGAGUAUAAUUUAAAGUUCAGAAACAAACCCUCACCUCUGCACAGUUGAUUUACUGAUUACAACCAUGAUAUCAACAGCACUGAUAGAGGAGACUAGUCACCACAAGAAUGGCACCAAGAAGACUACAUACAUACAU
rnacentral:lncRNA from 1 species